AAUGUCUCCAUGUCUCCCAGUGUCCUCAAGUUUCUCAGUGUCCCCUAGUGACAUGGGGACACUGGGAGACAUGGGGACAC